AGCAAUCUGGCCAUGGCAUCUGUCAUCUCAUUGAUGCACUGAUCUGGCUAGCCAGGUGGGUGUCCCCUUCCUAACUGCAUUUCUCCUGAAGCUGUACCCUUGGUUGAGGUGGAUGACCUGCCCUGCUAGAGAAGGUAUAGUCUCCUGUCAAGGUUAUACCAGUAUCUGUGCUCUCCUGCUAGAACCUCUAAAGAAGCUCUUGAAGGCUAUGAGGGACUCAAAUUGCAUACCUGGGGCCUUUGGCUAAUAAGUCUAAAGGC
rnacentral:snRNA from 1 species